rnacentral:rRNA from 1 species
GACGAACGCUGGCGGCGCGCCUAACACAUGCAAGUCGAACGGAGCGCGGCGGAAGAUCCCUUCGGGGUGAUUUUGCCGUUUGCUUAGUGGCGAACGGGUGAGUAACACGUGAGCAACCUACCUUUCAGUGGGGGACAACAUUUGGAAACAGAUGCUAAUACCGCAUAAGACCACAGCCGGACAUCCGGCAGCGGCCAAAGGAGCAAUUCGCUGAAAGAUGGGCUCGCGCCUGAUUAGAUAGUUGGUGGGGUAACGGCUCACCAAGUCUGCGAUCAGUAGCCGGACUGAGAGGUCGAUCGGCCACAUUGGGACUGAGACACGGCCCAGACUCCUACGGGAGGCAGCAGUGGGGAAUAUUGCACAAUGGGCGAAAGCCUGAUGCAGCGACGCCGCGUGAGGGAAGAAGGUUUUCGGAUUGUAAACCUCUGUCUUUGGGGACGAAGAAGUGACGGUACCCAAGGAGGAAGCCACGGCUAACUACGUGCCAGCAGCCGCGGUAACAC